GUAUUGGCCUACCGUGGCAAUGACGGGUAACGGGGAAUUAGGGUUCGAUUCCGGAGAGGGAGCCUGAGAAACGGCUACCACAUCUAAGGAAGGCAGCAGGCGCGCAAAUUACCCAAUCCUAAUACAGGGAGGUAGUGACAAGAAAUAACAAUACAGGACUUUUUGGUUUUGUAAUUGGAAUGAGUUAAGUAUAAACCCCUUUACAAGUAUCAAUUGGAGGGCAAGUCUGGUGCCAGCAGCCGCGGUAAUUCCAGCUCCAAUAGCGUAUAUUAAAGUUGUUGCAGUUAAAAAGCUCGUAGUUGGAUUUCUGUUAAUAAUUUAUAUAAAAUAUUAUGAUGAAUAUUUAUAUAAUAUUAACAUAAUUCAUAUUACUAUUUUUUUUAGUAUAUGAAAUCUUACUUUGAGAAAAUUAGAGUGCUUAAAGCAGGCAUAUGCCUUGAAUGCUCCAGCAUGGAAUAAUAUUAAAGAUUUUUAUCUUUUUUAUUGGUUCUAAGAUAAGAAUAAUGAUUAAUAGGGACAGUUGGGGGCAUUUGUAUUUAA
rnacentral:rRNA from 1 species